rnacentral:rRNA from 1 species
GACGGCCUACGGGUUGAAAGCCCCUUUCGACAGGGACGAAGCGCAAGUGACGGUACCUGUAGAAGAAGCACCGGCCAACUACGUGCCAGCAGCCGCGGUAAUACGUAGGGUGCGAGCGUUGUCCGGAAUUACUGGGCGUAAAGAGCUUGUAGGCGGCUUGUCGCGUCGAUCGUGAAAACUUGGGGCUCAACCCCAAGCUUGCGGUCGAUACGGGCAGGCUUGAGUACUUCAGGGGAGACUGGAAUUCCUGGUGUAGCGGUGAAAUGCGCAGAUAUCAGGAGGAACACCGGUGGCGAAGGCGGGUCUCUGGGAAGUAACUGACGCUGAGAAGCGAAAGCGUGGGUAGCGAACAGAUUAGUAUACCCUGGUAGUCCACGCCGUAAACGGUGGGUACUAGGUGUGGGUUUCCUUCCAGGGUUUCCGUGCCGU